rnacentral:rRNA from 1 species
UGUGUGAUCACACACAUACGUGCGCCAAAGAUAAGCCAGGGUAGCAUGUCUAAGUAUUAAGCAAUUAUACAGCGAAACUGCGAWUGGCUCAUUAAAUCAGUUAUCGUUUAUUUGAUAGUACCUUACUACUUGGAUAACCGUGGUAAUUCUAGAGCUAAUACAUGCUAAAAAUCCCGACUUCGGAAGGGAUGUAUUUAUUAGAUUAAAAACCAAUGCCCUCCGGGGCUCACUGGUGAUUCAUGAUAACUUCUCGAAUCGCACGGCCUUGCGCCGGCGAUGGUUCAUUCAAAUUUCUGCCCUAUCAACUUUCGACGGCUAGGUCUUGGCUAGCCGUGGUGACAACGGGUAACGGAGGGUUAGGGCUCGACCCCGGAGAAAACGCCUGAGAAACGGCGUUUACAUCCAAGGAAGGCAGCAGGCGCGCAAAUUACUCAAUACCGAUACGGUGAAGUAGUGACGAUAAAUACUGAUACAGGGCUCUUUUGGGUCUUGUAAUUGGAAUGAGUACAAUUUAAAUCCCUUAACGAGGAACAAUUGGAGGGCAAGUCUGGUGCCAGCAGCCGCGGUAAUUCCAGCUCCAAUAGCGUAUAUUAAAGUUGUUGCAGUUAAAAAGCUCGUAGUUGAACCUUGGGCCUGGCUGGCCGGUCCGCCUCACCGCGUGCACUGGUCCGGCCGGGCCUUUCCCUCUGGGGAGCCUCAUGCCCUUCACUGGGCGUGAUGGGGAACCAGGACUUUUACUUUGAAAAAAUUAGAGUGUUCAAAGCAGGCCUAUGCUCGAAUACAUUAGCAUGGAAAUAAUAGAAUAGGACGUGUGGUUCUAUUUUGUUGGUUUCUAGGACCGCCGUAAUGAUUAAUAGGGACAGUCGGGGGCAUCAGUAUUCAAUUGUCAGAGGUGAAAUUCUUGGAUUUAUUGAAGACUAACUACUGCGAAAGCAUUUGCCAAGGAUGUUUUCAUUAAUCAGGAACGAAAGUUAGGGGAUCGAAGACGAUCAGAUACCGUCGUAGUCUUAACCAUAAACUAUGCCGACUAGGGAUCGGACGAUGUUAUUUUUUGACUCGUUCGGCACCUUACACGAAAGUAUAAGUUUUUGGGUUCUGGGKRAGUACGYCSCMGCUGACUAGAAU